CCAAUCUCUCUUAAAGAAAUCCUCAGAAUUCCUUACUUUUUCCCUGGUACCUUCCCGACCUCAAUUUACACCGACACUUUACCCUGAUCUCUCUGAGCUUCCUGGACCAGCUCUGUUUCUUCCUUCUUCUGCAUGUUUCGAUCUACCAUCUUCCCCUCCUUGUCUGACACUCACUAAACAGAAGGCAGCAGAGAGUCUAACUUCCAAGAUCGUACCUCCUGCUAAUUCCCUGGUAUCCCGAGUGGCAGCCUCUCAUCUGGAAGAUGCAGAGAAGGGGACCCUGCAGUGAAAUCUCCCAUGAUCACCCUGUUUCUAGAACAACUGGUGAAAGAUGAAUAAACUGAGGCUUCUCAAGUUUCUGAACAAUUUAAGUGAUUUUCCCAAGGUCACACAGCUGGUAAGAAGAAAUAGAUCUUCA
rnacentral:lncRNA from 10 species